rnacentral:rRNA from 1 species
ACAGCAGCAGCCACGGGAAUACGGAGGGUGCAAGCGUUAAUCGGAAUUACUGGGCGUAAAGCGCACGCAGGCGGUUUGUUAAGUCAGAUGUGAAAUCCCCGAGCUUAACUUGGGAACUGCAUUUGAAACUGGCAAGCUAGAGUCUUGUAGAGGGGGGUAGAAUUCCAGGUGUAGCGGUGAAAUGCGUAGAGAUCUGGAGGAAUACCGGUGGCGAAGGCGGCCCCCUGGACAAAGACUGACGCUCAGGUGCGAAAGCGUGGGGAGCAAACAGGAUUAGAUACCCGAGUAGUCCCUGUCUCUUAUAA